rnacentral:rRNA from 1 species
UUGAACGCUGGCGGAAUGCUUUACACAUGCAAGUCGAACGGCAGCACGGGGGCAACCCUGGUGGCGAGUGGCGAACGGGUGGGUAAUACAUCGGAACGUGCCCAAUCGUGGGGGAUAACGCAGCGAAAGUUGUGCUAAUACCGCAUACGAUCUACGGAUGAAAGCGGGGGAUCGCAAGACCUCGCGCGAGUGGAGCGGCCGAUGGCAGCUUAGGUAGUUGGUGGGGUAAAGGCUCACCAAGCCAACGAUCUGUAGCUGGUCUGAGAGGACGACCAGCCACACUGGGACUGAGACACGGCCCAGACUCCUACGGGAGGCAGCAGUGGGGAAUUUUGGACAAUGGGGGAAAGCCUGAUCCAGCCAUUCCGCGUGCAGGAUGAAGGCCUUCGGGUUGUAAACUGCUUUUGUACGGAACGAAAAGGCCCUGGUUAAUACCUGGGGCUCAUGACGGUACCGUAAGAAUAAGCACCGGCUAACUACGU